AUCUGCCUAUUAGUGGGGGCCUUUUAAAAGAAAGGAAUGCUAAUACCGCAUACGUCCUACGGGAGAAAGCAGGGGACCUUCGGGCCUUGCGCUAAUCUCUGAGCCUAAGUCGGAUUAGCUAGUUGGUGGGGUAAAGGCCUACCAAGGCGACGAUCUGUAGCGGGUCUGAGAGGAUGAUCCGCCACACUGGGACUGAGACACGGCCCAGACUCCUACGGGAGGCAGCAGUGGGGAAUAUUGGACAAUGGGGGGAACCCUGAUCCAGCCAUGCCGCGUGUGUGAAGAAGGCCUUUUGGUUGUAAAGCACUUUAAGCGAGGAGGAGGCUAUUUUUUUUUAUACUACUGGAUAGUGGACGU
rnacentral:rRNA from 1 species